rnacentral:rRNA from 3 species
CAGACCUCUAAUCGGAAAAGACUACCCGCUGAGUUUAAGCAUAUCAAUAAGCGGGAGGAA